UACGUAGGGGGCAAGCGUUGUCCGGAAUUAUUGGGCGUAAAGCGCGCGCAGGCGGCUUCUUAAGUCUGAUGUGAAAGCCCACGGCUUAACCGAGAAGGGUCAUUGGAAACUGGGGAGCUUGAGUACAGAAGAGGAGAGUGGAAUUCCAGGUGUAGCGGUGAAAUGCGUAGAUAUAUGGAGGAACACCAGUGGCGAAGGCGGCUCUCUGGUCUGUAACUGACGCUGAGGCGCGAAAGCGUGGGGAGCAAACAGG
rnacentral:rRNA from 1 species